rnacentral:rRNA from 1 species
GACUGGGGUGAAGUCGUAACAAGGUAACCGUAGGGGAACCUGCGGUUGGAUCACCUCCUUACCAAAAUGAAGC